rnacentral:snoRNA from 1 species
UUUCCACUGUGUCUUCUGGUAGGUGGCCUGAGUUCAUGUACACUUUAAAAUCAAUGUUCUGAGUUGUAUGUGUGGAAUAAAACAAUAUUGGGCCAUUGUAAAUUGAGAUGGAAUAGGUGCUUUGUCUCUUCUGCAUGGUGUAGACAGUG